CACAUCUUCUACCACCCAGCGGAGCCGGUCCUUUCUCUCCUGGGAGGUUUUAGGCUCUCCAAAGGGCAGGCAAGGGGCUCCAGGACCUCUGGCAGCUGCUGGCCCAGAGGGUCCCAGUCCCCUCCCCCAAUCCCCAGGCACAGUCUCCGUCCUGGCCCAGAAUACGCUUGGCAGCAUCUUGGCUAAAGUGCCAUGGUGAGCAGGCUGCAAAGAAGGCCCCGGAAGAAAAGAGGGAAGAGCUGCUUGGGCCCCCAUCCCUCCCCCUCUUCCAUUUUGGGGUGGGCUAGGUCUUCAGAGAGGAGAGCAAGGGUCUCGAAUAGGGGCCCGUGGGGUAACUCGUAUCACUUUCGUGUUCCUUGUCGAAGCCUGUUCCCUGCAUGCUCUGGGAAGGGUGAUGGGUCUUUCGAGAGGCCCCCUGGGGACUGGGACCAUCAUCCUCCAGGAUCAAGCGCCGCAGAGAGAGCAAGAAUUGGGUCUGGCACCUGCCUCGUCCGGGUUGGCAGAGAUGGAACCAUCCAGCCCAGCGGAAACCCCUCCCGGCUGCCCUGACCUUCACGCCUGGCUCCCCUCAUCCAGAUCCACCAACCCUUGGCUGCCUGCCUGCCCUUCCCAUGGACUGUACCACCUCCCCGGCCCGGCCCAGCAAGACAGAUCCUCAGUGUGAUGGGGUUCUGGGCCUCUGAGAGCAUCCCUGCUUCCACGGGCAAUGCUUUUCGGCAGGAAUGUUAUUGGUGAUAAGGAGAUGAGGGUAAGAGAACCCACUACUCAGAAAACCAGCUUUCCAUAAACACGUUUCUUAACUCCA